AACACAUGCAAGUCGAGCGGAUGAGAAGAGCUUGCUCUUCGAUUCAGCGGCGGACGGGUGAGUAAUGCCUAGGAAUCUGCCUGGUAGUGGGGGACAACGUUUCGAAAGGAACGCUAAUACCGCAUACGUCCUACGGGAGAAAGCAGGGGACCUUCGGGCCUUGCGCUAUCAGAUGAGCCUAGGUCGGAUUAGCUAGUUGGUGAGGUAAUGGCUCACCAAGGCGACGAUCCGUAACUGGUCUGAGAGGAUGAUCAGUCACACUGGAACUGAGACACGGUCCAGACUCCUACGGGAGGCAGCAGUGGGGAAUAUUGGACAAUGGGCGAAAGCCUGAUCCAGCCAUGCCGCGUGUGUGAAGAAGGUCUUCGGAUUGUAAAGCACUUUAAGUUGGGAGGAAGGGCAGUAAGCUAAUAUCUUGCUGUUUUGACGUUACCGACAGAAUAAGCACCGGCUAACUCUGUGCCAGCAGCCGCGGUAAUACAGAGGGUGCAAGCGUUAAUCGGAAUUACUGGGCGUAAAGCGCGCGUAGGUGGUUCGUUAAGUUGGAUGUGAAAGCCCCGGGCUCAACCUGGGAACUGCAUCCAAAACUGGCGAGCUAGAGUAUGGUAGAGGGUGGUGGAAUUUCCUGUGUAGCGGUGAAAUGCGUAGAUAUAGGAAGGAACACCAGUGGCGAAGGCGACCACCUGGACUGAUACUGACACUGAGGUGCGAA
rnacentral:rRNA from 1 species